GCCGCUGCCGGGCCGGGCGGGGAAGCGCCACCGACCGCUGUGCGCCAUCUUUACUGAGAGGCGACGAGCCAGAGAGCGGGGCCGGGCCGCACCCCGCGCCCUGCAUAGCGCUUCGCCGGCCCGUGGAGGCGCUGCAUAACAACGGCUGCCAUGCAGGUUGUGGGGCUCCGCCAUCCCGCCGCCCCGCCACAUGAAUAAACCACGCUCGAUCAGUGCCAGCCCGGCAUAACGCUGGGUGAUAUGCAGGACCCCGGGCCCAAGCCCCAGUGCAGUCCCCCGUCCUGGAUAGUGCAGCAUCGCGUCGCCGCGGCCCCUCAUAACUCGCAUUGUUGUACAGGUGCAGGGCUCCUCGCGAUUUAGCCCCGGAACCUGCCUGACGUAUAAGCGGGCCGCAAGCAACCCUCAUAACCCCGACGGCGAUGCCGAGAGGGAGCGGGAGCCCCGCGCCCCGGACCGCGCAUACGGCAUAGGCGGUGCUGCCGACCCCUGCAUAGCGCCGGGCCGUAUGCGGGGCGCGGGGCGCGGCCCCGGGCCCGGCACGGCGGAGCCCGCGUUCCCCCCGAGACUCUGCGCUGCUCGGCCCGGGACGAGCCGGUCCCCGCGGGGGGACCGCGGCCCGAGCUGCGGUACCGAGCACCCGCGGCUUCGCCCUACGCCUCCGGCCCGGGCCGUGCCCUGCCUGCGGCCCCGCGCCCUGCCGGUGCCGCCGCCGGGAGGGAGGCGGCGGCGACACCACCGGGCUGGCAACCCCGUCGUGCUCGGCGCGGCGAGAGCAGGGUUAACAUCCAACAAGUGCCCACCGUACUCUACUCCCCCACAGAAGCCAGGGAGCUCACUGAGCCUCAGUUUUCCCAUCUGUGGCAUGGAAGCGACUUGUGACCAGCUGUGAGCCAGAGCUGCUGGGACAGGAAGCCUUCUUUUUAACAAGAAAGAAGAAAAGGUUCCCAUCCAUACCACGAACAACCUACUGCUGACCACCCCUGGAGUGUGUGAGCUCACCUGCACUCUCUGUCAAAGCACACCAGGCCUCCUGGAGGGAUGACCUGCUGAGAAGGUCAGUUCUGCUGCAGGGAGAGCAAGUGACAUGCUACUGGCACAGUCACCCCAGGAACAUCGGGGUCACUGAGGGCUGGAGCCUGGAGGGUCACUGGCGUGCACAGCACAACACCCAGAGGAGCAAAGGAGCAGCGGGACCACAACAGUAUCAACAUGGAGCAAUACUGACUAAAACCAUCUUGUAAGACAGUAAAAACAGGCUGCUAUCUUCAGAGAACUCCGACAAAUUAUUUUCUGAACUUGUCAGAGCACAGGGCACUCACCAGGUUUUGUACAAAAUCCUGCAAGAGCUGGCUGACACUGAGCAAGGUGGUAGAACCCUAGACAGCUCAACCUUUGGCCGGUGGGAGCUGAGGUAACACAUGCAGCAAAGCUCUGCUUACACAGGCUUCCACUGCACCAGAUACACACCAAACCAAAAGAGCCAUGUUCCCUAUGCAAUAAACCAUGGAAAUUGC